AGCCCACUUGCCAAAAAGACCUAACUUAAUACUCUAUACUUCAUCAUCACAUUCCUUAUUUUCCCUAGCUCCUGUCACUGCAACUCCCACUUUCUUCUUCUUCUUCUUCUUUGAAUCGUCAAUGUUAUUGUUGAUGGUGUGUUGUUUCAUAGAAGAAUAGUCAAAUGACCAAGGUAAGCUGCUUACCUCUUUCGAAUAUUUGAUUUUGACACUUAUUUUUCUUCUAAAAUCUCAAUCUUCGGCUGGUUGGGAUGUCUCUAUGUAGUGAUGUUGAAGGAGGAUGCCAUUCAGAGUUUCCAAUUCUUCCACAGGCGAGGCUCUAGCACAUGCAUUCAUUUUUUGUAAACCCUCUUCCCUUACUAACUUCCAUUGAAUUUUCGUCAACAGAUGACUAAUGGACAUGUUGUUUCUUUGCUAAUUUGGGCUUGUAGAUAACCUUCUAUGCUUAAGAAAAGAUAUGGCGUGCCUUCCUUAUGUUUUUGGUGAUUUCUUUUAUGUCCUAAUAUAGAUUAGCCAAUCUGAUUUAGCAACAUUAUAUCAUCUGUCUCUUUUGUCAUAUGAUAAAUUUCUAGUAUCUUCUAUAAAUAUUUCCAAUGUAACUAUAGCAAAUUAUAAUUUUGUUUAGUACAAAAACUAAUUCACUUCAUUUACAAUUAAUUGGUACCCAUCUAUUUAAUGAAAACUCACCCUAUUCUAUACUCUCCAAAUUCGAACAAAAAACAAAUAAUUAUGCAUAUCCCACUUAGUAUCCCCUUUCUCAUUUAUUUUUAUAUAUAUACACAUUACAAAUUGUAACAUCAUCAUCAAAAUUGAUAAUUUUCUACAAGUAUUAAGGCAUGACUGAACCAAACUUUAAAAGAGUUCAUAAUAUAGUAGAAUAAGAAAUUUUGAGAAACUAAGAUCUGACCAAUUUGAUAAUGAAAAUCCUCCAACUUCUCCUAUAUUUUAUCCUAAGAAAAAUUUGAGAUGAAAGUGGUGAUUGUAAUAAGCAAUCACUAAUUUUUUGUUUUGCAUAUUGCUCUUUUCUUUUUACAAUGUAAUGAUGAGAGUUAACUUUUCUAUGUUUGAAAAUAUUAUAAAUUUUAAAAACUGAUUCAUUACAUUUUUAAAUGACAUGUUCCUAUGAUCAUAAAAAUGUCGUGGUAUGUAUACUUAAGAUUACAAGAUAUAAGAGUACUUUUGAUACAUUCUAAAAGGUUGUUUUCUCUUUCUUUAAUUCCGUAUCUAUUAAACUUCGUCAUAUAAAAUGAAUAGAAGGUACACAAUUUUACUUUCAUAAAAAAGACCUAUUGUACACCUCAAGUAUUAAAAAUGAUCUUAAUAUACCCUUGUUUUAGGUGUUAAAGUAUUCUUCUCUUUUAUAUACAGACUCUAUUUUACCCUUUCACUUAACAGAAAACUUUUUAAAAAAACUAUUAGUAUUUUCAAUCAAUAUUUGGCAGUUUUUUAUUGGUUGAAAUUUUAAUUAACUAAAACCUUAAUAAUCUCCAAUCUCAAUCCGAACCCCACUUACUAUCCAAGAUGCUUUUUGGGGACUUACCUUAGUAGAAAGUUGAUAAAUCUUUGGUUAAAAAGUAUGGUAGAGUUUUUGCUUGAGAAAGAACUAUUCGUUUUAUGUGAUUAAAACCAUUUGACUUGACCGAAAGUUUAUUUAACAUUCCUAAAUUUAGAAUAUCUACAUAUUACAUCAAACCCUAUGAUUAUGGCAUGGAAUCUGAACCAUAUAAGAAAGGUUUCUAAUGAUAUCCAGAUGAUAGAUAGGGUUGCUUCUUAUUUCGUCCCACUAAUCUAACACUGUAAAAAUUAUAGCCAGACAUAUAGUAGAGAAGGAACCUUUAUCUUAAUGAACACCUACAUUAAAGUAAGCUUAUUAUCAAAUUUAUUAUAAGUUCUUUUGUACCCUUGAUCAACAGUUAGUAGUUGAUUAUUUCAUCUAGUGAGACUGAAAUCAUACGUGAUAUAGUUCACCUUUGAUCAAAUUUUAUUGUUACCAGGUAAAAUUGAUUGACCACCAACUAUAGAGAAAGGCUAUAAAGAAAUUUAUAAUCAUUUUGAUGAUAAACGUAAUUACUUUACUAUGGCUAUUCAGUCAGCUAAUGAUUUCCUUUUCUACUAUAUAUCUAACUAUAAUUCUUAAGUUGUUGGAUUAGUGGGAGGCAAUGGAAAGCAGCCGUAUUUAUCAUCUAGAUAUCAUUAGGAUACUAUCUCAUACAGUUCUGAUUGAUUGCCUUAUUCAUGGAGUUUGAUGUACUAUGUAGAAAUCUAAAAUUUAGGAAUGUUAAAUCAAUUUUUGGAUAAAAUAGUUUAGUAAAAUCAAAUAGUUUUAAUCCCACAAAAUAAGCAGUUCUUUCACAAACAAAUACUCUACCACACUUUUUAAGAAAAGUGAUCAAUUUUCUACAAAGGUAAAUUCCAAAACAAGCAUCUUGGACGGUAAGUGAAAUUCGAAUUGGGUUUGGGGGUUAUUAAGUUUUUAAUUAAUUAAAUUACAAACAAUAAGAAACUAACACGUGUUGAAUGAAAAUACUAUUUCUUUUAGUCUCUGUUAAGUAAAAGGAUAAAAGUAGAGUCUGUAGGUGGAUGGUAAGGAUAUUUUAGAACUCAGAGAUGGAAGAAUGGUAUGUUAGGAUUAUUUUCAAUACUUGAAGGAUAUAUUAGAACCCUUUUUUAUUCUAUUUCUCCGUCAUUUAUGUACUAUUUUCAAAAUGGUGAUUUUCUACUGAUGCAGAAAUAGGAAGUUCCCUGAAUAUGCUAUUGAGGAUUCAUCAAACGUACUUAGCAAUGGAAACUGAAGUUUUUCUAUAUAAUAGAA
rnacentral:lncRNA from 1 species